GCUGUGCAUGUGCAUGUGCUUCCAUAAUGAUGGAGGUUCGUCUAAAUUGUUCGCGUUUUUCCUAUCGUUAGUAAAAGAAUUCAAGUGUAUUAGAUCUAUUCAUGAAUAAUGACUUUGUGAUGCCUGGUAUCGUCUCGGCUGAUGGAUACAUAUAGAAUCUGCCGUACUACUAGUAGACCUACACUGAGUAUGACCUUGGGAAUUAGAAUUGACUGUCGACUUCGGAUGAAGAACUACUGAGUCAAUUUCAACCACACUUUGCACAGAGUAUCCUUGGGUGAAGGGGAUUCAGGUUUAUUCACAUGAAGGACCACACCCUCUUCCAUGGGGAGAUAAAUACAAAUUUGUGAAGAAUUAAUGGCAUCUUUUAAAAAUCUUCUCAAGAACCACUGGGCCAGGAAAGAUGAAACUCAUGUGGAAUCAUUCCCAGAUCAGAAACGUACAUCAGAGAUGAACCUGAUGCUUAGAUUUUGAUUUUUCAUCAUCAAUAAAGAUCAGAAACGUACAUGAGAGAUGAACAUGAUGCUUAGAUUUUGAUUUUUCAUCAUCAAUAAAGAUCAGAAACGUACAUCAGAGAUGAACCUGAUGCUUAGAUUUUGAUUUUUCAUCAUCUAUAAAGAUCAAAGAAAUGUACAUCAGAGAUGAACAUGACGCUUAGAUUUUUUGUGCAUUUAGGCAACACCCAUCAGCCACACAAUUCUCAAUUUAUAGGACCCGAAACAGUGCUGCGACUUUUUUUUAUUUCUAUUUCAUUCUGACAUUGUUUUGAAUGAGUAAUUAAUUAUUGACUGUAUUAUUAUGACAGCAAAGUGUUUCGGCGGUUUGAUAUCGUAUUGGUGUAUUAAAAAUCAAAAUCACGGCCCCGCCUUCCUCAAGGAUCCAACCGUAAUUUCUAUUGUGGCAAAUAGCUUUUGUAAGCAAAUCACUAAUACUUUUAUGUUUAGCAUAUGCAAAUCAUUGGUUUUGUUUGAAAGAUUUCUUUGCAUGUUUCAUCUUUUAAAACUAAUGACCAGUAUUUUUAAUAAUUUGGAUUUCAGCCCUUUGAUUCUUGGGUCACACUUUGUAAUUAGAACAAUAGGUAUUUCCUUUGUUUUCUUGGUUUUAUGUAACGUUAUGACUGUUUUCAGCUAAGGAUUCAUUAAUAAUUGUGUCAAUCUCAGUUCUCUUGUACCGCUUAUUCUCUGUUUAAAAGGUGUGAUCUGAACUCCAGAAGUUCGUUGUGCAAUAUUUCCUUGUCACGUGUAUUGUGUACAUAUCUUAUACAUUCCCCCUUAAUAAAGCCUUUCAAAACUGAUUUAGGGUGAGCGCUGUGGCGGUGCAAAUAUUGGAAUGUGUUUGUUGGUUUAAUAUAUGACUUAACAUCAAGAAUAUGAAAUUCCUUGAAACGGUUUCCUUUGUAUACAUAUGUGUCCAAAAAUGGUAGUGAUGCUUCAGAUAUUUCAUAGGUAAAUUUCAAUAAAGGAUGACAUUCA